GUCGCCUUUCUUGUUCUCAUAGAAUCAUAUGAUAUGAGCUCCAUGUUUUGUGAACGUCUUUCUUAACUGUCGUAUUAGACUGACCAGUGCAUAUCGCGCAUGGCACUUUAAAUGUAUUUUAGCGCGAAAAUUAACUUACAUUUAGCUGGAUUUAUUGCCGUCGUAGUUCCAUCUUGUCGCCUUCGUACUUUUAUUUGAUGGCAACACGACGGGAUUACGAGGUCUUCACGAAGUCGUGUUGCCAUCGUAAGACCUGCGGGUAGCUUCGUGAUUCAUUCGUGUAGACAACGUAAUGUCAAAACUGCCCG
rnacentral:lncRNA from 1 species